UUAACAGAUGAAUGAAAAGAAGACUGAAUCUGUACAUCCACAUCUUCAAGGGCAGCAACCAUUUCUUAUGCUUCUCUUCAGGACCUCGUUCAGGACCCUGUGCAUUCUAGGUACAAAGGAAAGGAGAUGAAAAUGAAGAAACAGAGGCUCAAGAAAUAAAGUCGCCUAUCCAAUGUUGCUCAGUUGACGGCAAAGUUGAGGUUAUUACAGAGUAUUGAGCAGAGUUCCCUGUGCUAUAUGGUAGGUCCUUAUUGGUUAUCUAUUUUAAAUAUAGCAGUGUGUACAUGUCAAUCCCAAACUCCCAAUCUAUCCUUCCCCUCUACCCAUACCCCCAGUAUCUAUAAAUUCAUUCUCUGUGAGUCUGUUUUUGUUUUGUAAAUAAGUUCAUUUGUAUUAUUUUAAAUUAAAUACCACAUAAGAAUGAUUUCAUAUAUUAGUCUUUGUCUGACUUACUUCACUUGGUAUGAUAAUCUCCAGGUUCAUCCAUGUUGCUGAAAAUGGCAUUAU